GACGAACGCUGGCGGCGUGCUUAACACAUGCAAGUCGAACGGAAAGGCCCUGCUUUUGUAGGGUGCUCGAGUGGCGAACGGGUGAGUAACACGUGAGUAACCUGCCCUUGCCUUUGGGAUACCUUCAGGAAACUGGGGCUAAUACCGGAUAGGAGCUCCUGCUGCAUGGUGUGGGUUGGACAGUUUCGGCGGUUGGGGAUGGACUCGCGGCUUAUCAGCUUGUUGGUGGGGUAGUGGCUUACCAAGGCUUUGACGGGUAGCCGGCCUGAGAGGGUGACCGGCCACAUUGGGACUGGGAAACCGCCCAGACUCCACCGCGAUGCAGCAGUGUAGAGUUUGGCACAAGGUGCGGAUGCCUGUAGCAGCAACGUCGAGGGUGGGAUGAGGGCCAUCGGCUUGUAAACCGCUUUCGCCUUAGACGUAGCGAGAGUGACGGUAAUAGGUAAAGAUGCACCCGCUGACUAUAUU
rnacentral:rRNA from 1 species